rnacentral:rRNA from 1 species
UGAGGAAUUUUCCGCAAUGGGCGAAAGCCUGACGGAGCAAUACCGCGUGAGGGAUGAAGGAUUUUGGUCUGUAAACCUCUUUUCUCAAGAAAGAAGUUCUGACGGUACUUGAGGAAUAAGCAUCGGCUAACUCCGUGCCAGCAGCCGCGGUAAUACGGGGGAUGCAAGCGUUAUCCGGAAUCAUUGGGCGUAAAGCGCCUGUAGGUUGUUUAAUAAGUCUGUUGUUAAAGACUAGGGCUCAACCCUAGAAAAGCAAUGGAAACUACUAGACUAGAGUAUGGCAGGGCUAGAGGGAAUUUCUAGUGUAGCGGUGAAAUGCGUAGAUAUUAGAAAGAACACCGGUGGCGAAAGCGCUCUACUGGACCAUUACUGACACUCAGAGGCGAAAGCUAGGGUAGCAAAAGGGAUUAGAUACCCCUGUAGUCCUAGCCGUAAACGAUGGAUACUACAUGUUGUGCUUUAUGUACAGUAUGGUAGCUAACGCGUUAAGUAUCCCGCCUGGGGAGUACGCUCGCAAGGGUG